rnacentral:rRNA from 1 species
UACGAGGAGGGCGAGCGUUGUUCGGAAUUAUUGGGCGUAAAGGGCGCGUAGGCGGCCUGGCGCGUCGGCUGUGAAAUCUCCCGGCUCAACUGGGAGGGGACGGCCGAUACGGCUGGGCUUGAGCGAGGUAGGGGAGAGUGGAAUUCCCGGUGUAGUGGUGGAAUGCGCAGAUAUCGGGAAGAACACCCGUGGCGAAGGCGGUUCUCUGGGACGGUACUGACGCUGAGACGCGAAAGCGUGGGGAGCGAACAGG